rnacentral:rRNA from 1 species
GGACGAACGCUGGCGGCGUGCUUAACACAUGCAAGUCGAACGCUGAAGACCUGGCUUUUGUUGGGUUGGAUGAGUGGCGAACGGGUGAGUAACACGUGAGUAACCUGCCCUCUUCUUUGGGAUAACGCCCGGAAACGGGUGCUAAUACUGGAUAUUCACUGAUCUUCGCAUGGGGGUUGGUGGAAAGGUUUGUUCUGGUGGGGGAUGGGCUCGCGGCCUAUCAGCUUGUUGGUGGGGUGAUGGCCUACCAAGGCUUUGACGGGUAGCCGGCCUGAGAGGGGGACCGGACACGUUGGGACUGGGAUACGGCCCAGACGCCUACGGGAGGCAGCAGUGGGGAAUAUUGCACAAUGGGCGAAAGCCGGAUGCAGCGACGCCGCGUGAGGGAUGGAGGCCUGCGGGGUGUAAACCUCUUUCGCUCAUGGUCAAGCCGCAACGGUGGGUUGUGGUGAGGGUAGUGGGUAAAGAAGCGCCGGCUAACUACGUG